rnacentral:lncRNA from 1 species
UCAUUUCCUUCUUCAUCUUCUCCUCCCCCUCCUUCCGUGAUGCUCACUCGCCUAUAAAUAGCCCUCGCUGCCUGCCAUUGUUCCUCAAGCCAGCAAGCAAGAAGCACACAGGAAGCUCCUAGCCAACACCAAUCAAGGCCUCCAUCCAAUCCCAAGCAACCUCGAAUAUGUCUUGCUGCGGAGGAAACUGCGGAUGCGGCACCGCCUGCAAGUGCGGCAACGGCUGCGGUGGCUGCAACAUGUACCCCGAGGUUGAGGCCGCCGGCGCCACCCUCCUCGUCUCCGCCACUGCCACUCACAAGGGGUACGUCCCUUCUCUUGACAAAAUUUUCUCCACAGCUCAUACAUCAUCAUGCACUCGAUCUUUUUUUUUUGCGGGGUACGUGCAGGAGCUCCGGCGGCAUGGAGAUGGCGGCCGAGAACGGCGGCUGCGGCUGCACCCAGUGCAAGUGCGGCACCAGCUGCGGCUGCUCCUGCUGCAGCUGCUAGAUCAUUGAUCAUGCAUGCGCCGCGUGCAUCAUAUCUAUGAUCUACGUAUCCAUCUACUACCAUGUAAUGCCACCUGAUCGAGGGUCUUUGUAUGUAUGUAGUAUGUACGCACCUGCCUGCAUGAGCAGAGCGGGUGCCAUUCCAUGCAUGUAAACCCCUAAAUAAAAUCUCCCGUGGUUUUGCUUACAUCGUGUUGUUAGAUCCUCCUCCUAUUAGUGUUGCUUUCGGGUUCUUCUUAUGCACUAGCAGGAUCAGAGGCCGGUCUUUUGUUCUUGGUCUUCUCCUCAAACUGUCGUUUUCCUCUUCUCUAUGGUUCCAUGUGCGGCAGUAUUUUCUUCUUCUGUUGCCGAGUGUUGUAUCAGACUGUACCUUGUUUUGUGGUUUAUUCCUAUCCAUCUCGAAAUAUAGUGCAGGAAUUUAUUUGCAAAAGGUGGAUCUCAACAAGACACGACGGUAUGUGUAUCUUGCAGGAUUUAUUGAUCGGUCUAUCUUAUGCAUCUUAUUAAAAAAAUACAUUAAGGUCUCAUGGUCAAGCCAAAUUAUCAUUGUUUUUCCUUGCAUGCAAAAUGCAGCAAUAAAUCUUCGUCCUUGGCUUGUUUCUCAUUUCACUGCCUACGUUGCAGGUAUCCGACCCUGUUGGAAUCUCCUUUUCUGUCAUUGUGUUCACUUUCUGUGAUGUGAUGUGUGCGCAAAUAUUCCCACAACAACAACAUAAUAAUAAAGCCAUAUACGCAAGCAACCGAAUAAUGGCAAUGAUAUAUUACUGCUCAAGGCGCAUCUCCAAAUCAACCUGUCAUGUCCAUGGCUGCGUCUAAGCACUCGGGGCAGAAAUACUCACUCUCCGCCACUGAUUCAUAUCACCGAAUCCACACGGCCAAAUUACGUCCUCCAUGUUUUAAGCGAUGCCACUAUAUCUCGUGGGAAAAUUGUUUCCACAGUUCGAUAUCCCUCCCUUUGAUGAAAAAAUUCACGCUUGGCUUCUGCAUCACAGAGUGCAGAUAACGAAUAUUGUUUUCUAUGUUCUGAACUGGAACACUAUAUCUUGUGUAAAAAAUUGUGUCAACAAUAUCGAUAUUCCCUCCUAUAAAAUAAAAUCAUCAAUAGCUCACUUCUCUAUAUAACUGGAUGCAAAGUAAUGGGCGGUGUGGAGCACCCAAGACAGCACGCAAAAUAUCGGUGUUAUUUUAACUCCACUACGUAGACAAGUCACUAUAUUUACACAAUUAUGUAAGAAAAAGAGCUCUUUUAUGGUACCCUGUAUUGAAUAUUGACCGUCCAUCUGCAAAGAUCCAAUGGUGGGUACUUAUCUGUACUGGUGAAACUGGAUUAGCAGCAUCGCUAGUACCGCACGUCUCACGUCCACCGGUAUACUGCUCGGAGGGCAUUAUCGGUGACUCUGCAUCACCGGCAGCCGCCCGCCGGGGCUCGCCUCCUCUUCGCCCCCAUGCCCGCUGGGGCGCCUCCUCCCUGCCUUUAAUCCGCUGUGCUAUGCAUGCUUCUAUGGUUUUGGACUUCUGGCAUGGCACCGUGCGCCCCAUCCCCCUUCCACGCUACGGCCGCGAUGUUCUUUGCCGCCCCGCAUGGCUGAGCAGUGAGCACCUUAGCAUCGCGUUUAUUGUGUUGCCUCGUUCAUGACGACAGUGCAUGCCAAACCACCCUGCGUUGACGAUGAGGCCAGGAUGUGUACAACGUCGUGGUCUUCACGGAGAGCUGCGGCUACGAGAGUGCCGGAGCCUGGCGGAACCUCGCCUAUUUUGUGCUAACCAUGCCCUCGCUACGCUCAUGGCCGUCCUCCUUUAUUUUACUACCGCUUGCCUUCAUGAUCGAGCUCUUCAUGGCCUGGAUCACGCUUUACUUUAGCCUCAGCUUGCCGGACGUGGAGCAGCUACUCAUCUGCCUUUGCUGUGAGGUCGACGACCACGUCAUUGUUCAAAAGCUCACCCAGGCAGGGCUCAACAUACCUGUUUCCUCGUCGUCACCCCGCUGUCACAGACUCACAGGAGUGCACGAUGCAUUCCGAAAUAUUGAUUCGCCAGAGCAAUUCCCUUCACGAACACAAGAAGAGCUUUCACCGUCACAUAUACUGCUCCCUCCCCAGUAGCAGUAUAGGGUACCAUAAAAACCCUCAAGAAAAAUAAAUAACUCAGAGAACUGUCUGGCCAUAGAUGGAGCUUUCUACAGAUGGGGACAAGAAUUUGGCACCACCCACUCAAUUUCCCUCUCACCUUUUUGCAUUGCUUUCAUAUGUAAAAAAACAAAAACAAAAUAGUGAGUUGACUUGCGAUCUGCCUUAAAAUGACAAGAUGACGGUUGGGGGUUAAAAAAACAUUCAAAUGCAUUUUAUAUAUUCAUAUGUUUACUUAUUUUGUAUUUGUUUGUGCAUGUCAUAAAAAUCAUCAAUUUCCACAAGCAUACAUAAUACUCAAUGAUCUACAUUGACAAUAGGCUUUGAGAUUUUUCAACGCAUGACAAGAAAAAUCAAAUGAGGUCAGCUGGAAAUUAAAGAUCAGUUUUGACUUCCAAAAAAUUAUGAUCUCUUUUGUCCAAACUUAAAAGGAAUCAUUACAGAAAAUUUGGAGAUUCCAAUUGUUAGAAUAUUUUCCUACAGGACUAGUAGGGCUGGGAACCAUAAUGAUAUUUUCUAUGGCCUAAUUGACAUGUUUAUGUUGAGCCAAAUCUUUUGGAAAUAGUUUCGUUGAUUCAGUGACAACUAUGUGCUUGCACCUAACGCUUGAGAAAAUUCUUGUAUUUUUUCCCUCUUGCAAUAAAUCAACAUCCAUAUUUUACGCAUUUACUCCAUCUUCAAUUCCCACAGAAUUCAACACAGCAUGACCUGAAAUCUGUGUGUUAAGUUUUCCGGUUCCUGUCUUUUUAAAAUGCUGCAAAAGUAUGUGGCAUGUAAUCUUUAAAAAUAGUGGGAGUGUGAUAGUUAUUGAAAUGCAUGUAGGAUGGAAACUAAAAUUUCAGUAAAAUUCAGCUUAUAACACUAAAAUUGAAAAGGUUGCCAAGCCUAUGGCAACCAAGAGCCGCCAAGAUUUCUUAAAUAACAAAUAUUUUCGGCGACCUCCCCCAAAGAAGACAUAGCUUUUUCCUUGUCUUGACAUUCAAAAGCACUGAGUGAGGGGUAUCGGCUGAAUAUAUUCACUAAGGGCAUGCACAAAAGAGAGUUGACUAUUAUUAUUUUGCAAUGCUUUCAGAAUUUAGUUUGAUAUUGGUUUAAUUCAUAGUUCAUAAUUUACCGAGAAAUACCACUACGAGGUCAAGCACCCCUAAACUUGACCGUUAUGGCUGCAUGCAUCAAUGUAUGCCGAGGGCCGCGCGCGGGGGGUCUUGUUUGGAAAAUAAUAAUGAUCUUAUAGUGCAAUGAUUGGUCAUUGCCUAAGGUAUUUCCCUCUGUUCCAAGAUACAAGGUGUAUUUUUUAUUAAAAAAAACAAAAUUCCCUAUGUUUGACCAAAUUUAAAAUAAAACGUCUCUGUGUUUGGAAACCAUUUAUAUUUUUAUAAGCUCGAUCAAACAUAGAAGAUUUGACUUCAGAAAAAAAAAUAGUACAACUUAUAUUAUGAAACGGGAGUUAGUAGGUACACCAAUAAUUCGAUAUACGCACAAAAUGCUGGCUGUAGUUCCUUUCAUGGCUCCUUUGAUGUAAGAAAGAUGCUAGUAGAGACUAGAGACAAAGGGAAUCAAAUUAUGGGAGGAGGCGGCCCUAUCUAUAUUCCUCUUCCCCAAGCGGUUGCUCCCGUCCAUCCUUUGCCAAAAGUGGAGCAUCUCCCAUUUCCUUCUUCAUCUUCUCCUCCUCCUCCUUCCUUCGUAUUCACUCACCUAUAAAUAGCCCUCGCUGCCUGCCAUUGUUACUCAAGCCAGCAAGCAAGAAGCACAAAAGAAGCCAACACCAAUCAAGGCCUCCAUCCAAUCCCAAGCAACCUCGAAGAUGUCUUGCUGCGGAGGAAGCUGCGGCUGCGGCAGCGCCUGCAAGUGCGGCAACGGCUGCGGCGGCUGCAACAUGUACCCCGAGGUCGAGGCCGCCGGCGCCACCCUCCUCGUCGCCGCCACCGCCACCCACAAGGCGUACGUCCCUUCUCCUUCCUCAUAUAUCAUGCACUCGAUCGUAACAAUAUGACUGUAUGUUGAUCUUGGUAUGGGUGGGGUACGUGCAGGAGCUCCGGCGGCAUGGAGAUGGCGGCCGAGAACGGCGGCUGCGGCUGCACCCAGUGCAAGUGCGGCACCAGCUGCGGCUGCUCCUGCUGCAGCUGCUAGAUCAUCGGUCAUGCAUGCACCGCGUGCCUCAUAUCUAUGAUCUAUCUAUAUAUCCAUCUACCACCAUGUAACGCUACCUGAUCACGGUCUUUGUAUGUAUGUACGCACCUGCCUGCAUGAGCAGAGCAGGUGCCAUGCCAUGCAUGUAAACCCCUAAAUAAAAUCUCCCGUGGUUUAACCCCCUAUACAUGUGUUUGUGUUAUAGUCUUAUAGACCAACUUCUGGCCCAUGUUUACUAUGAACUUGCGACUUGCGAGGUGCCUGGGUUGUUAAUAGACCAGCUGGAUGCUCUCUUGAAGCAACGUAUGCACCGCUUGGAGUCGGUGUAUCUUUAUACACAUGUAUUUAUUUUACAGGUGUAUAUCAUCGGCCACACCUGGGAAAAAACGAUGGAUGGAGAAGUGUAAAUUUACAGGGGUAUUGCUCUGUGAAACGAGAAUCGAAUCAGGGCCUUAAGGGUAGGGAUGGCAAUGGGUAGGGUAUGGGCGCGUACGACUUUUUUCUGCCCAAACCCAUACCCAAAUCUUUUUUCUAUACCCAUCUAUUUCAAUAUCCAUGGACACAAAUUGGUACCCAUGCCCAUACCUAUCGGGUAUAUUAUACCCAAUGGAUAUCCAAUGGGUAUAGUAUCUAACAUUGGCAUGAUAAAGGUAAGCCAAGAAAAGGGCCUAAAACUAAAUUUAGGUACUCGGCCAUCACAAUCCGGUUUGCACUUACAUCAAAAUUUUACAAUGUGGAUUGACACACAAAUGUCUUAAUCUUCAUUACAAACUAACUUAAAAAAACAAGUUUCAAACUUGCAAUGCCAAUCACUGUAGGUAUUAUAGGGUUUAAUUUAUUUAUUAAUUUUUCUGGGUAUCCAUUAGGAUACCCAUGGGUAUAAUUUCAUACCCAUACCCUACCCAUGCAUUUUGCGGGUAUGGACACCCAUUACCCAUGGGUAUGAAGUAGUAAAAAGUCUUAUCCAUGCCCACUGUUUUCGGGUAGGGUACCCGCGGGUACCCAUACCCAUGGGCAAAACUGCCAUCCCUACUUAAGGGCGUUUGAUACAUGCGAAUAUUACUGGCCAAAGUUGAGUAUGAGAUACAUACAAUACAAACUUGACACUUUUGAAAGUCGUGCUAUCAAUCAUGAGACGCAUAGUUUAGCCAAAUUCUCGCUUAAUCUUUGUCAAAGGGUGUCACAUCUGGUUUGGCCAACCCCAUGAUCCGAUAUGUAUCCUACUCUCUGUGGUUUUCGAUGAAUAAAAUUUGGUUAAACCCUAAAAAAACUUAUUUGACGCGCCUUAGUUUUUUUCGAGAAUUUUUUUUAAAUCCGUUCAUCAAUCAUGGCAGUACAAAAAUCACAACCAGGUCCAUGAACCACCUAGCGACGACUACACUCACUGGAGCGAGCUAAACGUGCGCCGCCAUUAUCGCCCCUCCCUUACCGGAGUCGGACAAACCUUAUUGUAGUAGACAGUUGGAAAGUUAUCGUGCUAAGACCCUCAAGGACCACCGCACUGCAUAGCAACCAUCGUCGAUGAAAAGAGUUGUAGAUUGGAAAGAUCAAAGCUAUAACCACACAAGCGAAGACGAACAAAAAUGGAUCCAAUAGAUCCACCAAAGUCCAGCACGACAGAAUCCUGUGAGAUCCGGCGGGGACACACCUCCACAUGUCCUCCUCCGAUGUUAUUCGCACCACCGGGACGAGGAUCGGAUGUGGGAGACAUUAUUCCUACCCAGGGACAUCACUACCGUCACACAGCCCCAACCAAGACGUUAAACCUAACAAAAACGAGAACGGGUCCCUCCCGCUGCCGGGGGGCCAAGAUCCUCCGCACUCCGGGGAAUCGGCGCCGGCGGCAACGGGAUGAGAAAGGAAACUUUUCUUGAGAAGGAGGAAAGACAGACACAUACUGUUGUGUCUAAAUUACCGUGUCUUAGUUUGAUGUACUAUUUGCACCAGCUACUUCAUAACUAGAUUGCCAUGGUUGACGAUGGGUGUGUUCCCCUCUACUAAUAGUGCGGCAGUGCCCUAGCGGCGACAACUAUAUCAUGAACAAUUAAAACUUCACGAAAUUGGUGGCCUGGUGACUUAUGCCUGUGCCUAUAUCGCACGCUCUUUUGUGAUGACAAAGAAACAGAUUAUCAUUUUCGGAGGUUAAAUGGAAACAGAUGGAGUGAACCACAUGUAUGUUGUACCAGCAAAACAAUAUUUAAAUCGAUUCGUUGAUGAUUUCCUUGAUAUAAAAUUUGAGGUGUGCUCUACAACACCCCACCCUACCCCCGGAGCUCCUAUUUGGCACGCUAAGCGCUAGCGGUCGAGCCCGUGCGCGUCCCCUUCCCUUGCACACCCAUUUGGGUCGGCCCAUGCGCGGGGCGGGACACGCCGUUUUUAUUUUUUAUUUUUCUUUUAUUUAUUUUUUAAAUAAUUCAGGAUUUCAAAAAGUUUCAAAUUUAAAAAAAAUGUCAACUUUGAAAAAACAAAGAAAUCAUAAAAUGUUCAUGGAUUCAAAAAAUAUCUUGAAUUUGAAAGACAUGUCCGGACAUUCCCAAAAUGUUCAUAAAUUUGAACAAAAUGUUCACAAAUUAAAAAACAUGUUCAGAAAACUAAAUAAAUGAUUCUCAAUUACGAAAAUAUUGAAAAAUCAAAAAAUGUUCGUUGAUUCAAAAAAUGUUAAUUAAUUUCGAAAAAUAUUUGUCAAACAAAUAGUAUUCAUGAAUGUCAAAAAUUGUUCCCAGAUUUCAAAAACUAUUUCUUGUCAAAAAUUAUUCAGCAAUUCAAAUGUCCAUGAGUUUUAAAACAAUGUUUACAAUUUUAAAAAAUUCUUAGAUAUAAAAAAAUGUUUGUGAAUUCAAAAAAUAUUCAAGAUUAAAUUAAAUUCAUGAAUUUUUAAACAUGUUCAUGAAUUUGAAAAAUAAUCACAACAAAACAAUGUUCAUGCAAUUGGAAAAUGCUCACAAUUUAAAUAAUGUUAAAAAUCAUUAAAAAGUUCAUAAAUUUGAAAAUAAGUUCAAAAAAUGAAAGACUGAAAAAAGAAAAGAAAAACUGACAUCAAAAUAGGAAAAUAUAAAUAAGGUAAAAACGAAAACGAAAAAUAGAAAUGAAAUAAUGAAAAUGAAAAAACAAAAAUAACCCGAAAGGAAAAAACUGGUAUGGAAAGGUUCUAGAACGUUCCCAAAACCGAAAAGGAGGUACUUGGGCCGCCCCAAAAUGUGUACCUAGUGGGAGGGGCGUAUGCGCUAGGAUUAGCCCCCUAAAAAGCUUCACAACUUUUGAGCAGAUCAAUGGUCUAGAUUAAAACAUGUCCUUUACUUUAGAAGGGGUAAUAUAAAAAAUUCACAUUAUAAAAACACUUGCAAUAAAAAAGAUAACGGGCGCUCUAGAAACCCAUGGCGGCUAGUGCGACUUGUUUGGAGCUAUUCGUCUCCUUCCCAACCCUUAUCCACUACCCCGGUCGUCCAUGUAUCUGUCAAAAGUGUUAGAUGAAGGAAAUAUGCCCUAUAGGCAAUAAUAAAGUUAUUAUUUAUUUCCUUAUUUCAUGAUAAAUGUUUAUUAUUCAUGCUAGAUUUGUAUUAACCGGAAACAUAAUACAUGUGUGAAUACAUAGACAAACAUAGUGUCACUAGUAUGCCUCUACUUGACUAGCCCGUUAAUCAAAGAUGGUUAAGUUUCCUAACCAUAGACAUGAGUUGUCAUUUGAUUAACGAGAGCACAUCAUUAGGAGAAUGAUAUGAUUGACUUGACCCAUUCCGUUAGCUUAGCACUUGAUCGUUUAGUAUUCUGCUAUUGCUUUCUUCAUGACUUAUACAUGUUCCUAUGACUAUGAGAUUAUGCAACUCCCGUUUACCGGAGGAACACUUUGUGUGCUAUCAAACGUGACAACGUAACUGGGUGAUUAUAAAGGUGCUCUACAGGUGUCUCCGAAGGUACUUGUUGGGUUGGCGUAUUUCGAGAUUAGGAUUUGUCACUCCGAUUGCCGGAGAGGUAUCUCUGGCCCACUCGGUAAUACACAUCACUUAAGCCUUGCAAGCAUUGCAACUAAUGAGUUAGUUGCGGGAUGAUGUGUUAUGGAACGAGUAAAGAGACUUGCCGGUAACGAAAUUGAACUAGGUAUUGAGAUACGGACGAUCGAAUCUCGGGCAAGUAACAUACCGAUGGCAAAGGGAACAACGUAUGUUGUUAUGCGGUUUGACCGAUAAAGAUCUUCGUAGAAUAUGUAGGAGCCAAUAUGAGCAUCCAUGUUCCGCUAUUGGUUACUGACCGGAGACGUGUCUCGGUCAUGUCUACAUAGUUCUCGAACCCGUAGGGUCCGCACGCUUAAAGUUCGAUGACGGUUAUAUUAUGAGUUUAUGGUUUUUGAUGUACCGAAGGUAAUUCGGAGUCCUGGAUGUGAUCACGGACAAGACGAGGAGUCUCGAAAUGUUUGAUACGUAAAGAUCAAUAUAUUGGACGACUAUAUUUGGAUAUCGGAAUGGUUCCGGGUGAGAUCAGGAUAAUACCGGAGCACCGGGAGGUUAUUGGAACCCUCCCCCCCGGAGGUAUAUGGGCCUUAAUGGGCUUUAGUGGAAAGGAGGGAAAAGGAGCAAGGGAGGGGGCGCCCCCCCCCCCCCCAAGCCCAAUCCGAAUAGGGAAGGGGGCCACCCCCCUUUCCUUCCUCCCUCCUUCCUCUUCCUUCCCUCCCCCUCUCCAAAUAGGAAAAGGAGGAGUCCUACUCCCGAUGGGAGUAGGACUCCCCCCUUGGGCGCGCCUCCUCCCCUUGACCAGCCCUCUCCUCCCCUCCUUUAUAUACGGAGGAGAGGGGCACCCCAUAGACAGAACAAUUGAUCUCUUGGAUCUUUUAGCCGUGUGCGGUGCCCCUCUCCACCAUAGUCCACCUCGAUAAUAUCGUAGCGGUGCUUAGGCGAAGCCCUGCGACGGUAGAACAACAUCGUCACCACGCCCUCGUGCUGAUAGAACUCUCCCUCACAGCUCGGCUGGAUAGGAGUUCGAGGGAUGAAACCGAGUUGAACGUGUGCAGAACUCGGAGGUGCCGUGCGUUCGGUACUUGAUCGGUCGGAUCGUGAAGACAUACGACUACAUCAACCGCGUUGUGCUAAUGCUUCCGCUUUCGGUCUACAAGGGUACGCGGACACACUCUCCCCUCUCGUUGCUAUGCAUCACCAUGAUCUUGCAUGUGCGUAGGAAAUUUUUUGAAAUUACUACGUUACCCAACAGUGGUAUCAGAGCCAGGUUUUAUGCGUUGAUGUUAUAUGCACGAGUAGAAAACAAGUGAGUUGUGGGCGAUACAAGUCAUACUGCUUACCAGCAUGUCAUACUUUGGUUCGGCGGUAUUGUUGGAUGAAGCGGCCCGGACCGACAUUACGCGUACGCUUACGCGAGACUGGUUCUACCGACGUGCUUUGCACACAAGUGGCUGGCGGGUGUCAGUUUCUUCAACUUUAGUUGAACCGAGUGUGGCUACGCCCGGUCCUUGAGAAGGUUAAAACAGCACUAACCUGACGAACUAUCGUUGUGGUUUUGAUGCGUAGGUAAGAACGGUUCUUGCUCAGCCCGUAGCAGCCACGUAAAACUUGCAACAACAAAGUAGAGAACGUCUAACUUGUUUUUGCAGGGCAUGUUGUGAUGUGAUAUGGUCAAGACAUGAUGCUAUAUUUUAUUAUAUGAGAUGAUCAUGUUUUGUAAUCGAGUUAUCGGCAACUGGCAAGAGCCAUAUGGUUAUCGCUUUAUUGUAUGCAAUGCAAUCGCCCUGUAAUUGCUCUACUUUAUCACUAGGCGGUAGCGAUAGUCAUAGAAGCAAUAGUUGGCGAGACGACAAUGAUGCUACGAUGGAGAUCAAGGUGUCGCACUGGUGACGAUGGUGAUCAUGACGGUGCUUCGGAGAUUGAGAUCACAAGCACAAGAUGAUGAUGGCCAUAUCAUAUCACUUAUAUUGAUUGCAUGUGAUGUUUAUCUUUUAUGCAUCUUAUUUUGCUUUGAUUGACGGUAGCAUUAUAAGAUGAUCUCUCACUAAAUUUCAAGAUAAAAGUAUUCUCCCUGAGUAUGCACCGUUGCCAAAGUUCGUCGUGCCCAGACACCAUGUGAUGAUCGGGUAUGAUAAGCUCUAUGUCCAUCUACAACGGGUGCAAGCCAGUUUUGCACACGCAGAAUACUCAGGUUAAACUUGACGAGCCUAGCAUAUGCAGAUAUGGCCUUGGAACACCGAGACCGAAAAGUCGAGCUUGAAUCAUAUAGUACAUAUGAUCAACAUAAUGAUGUUCACCAUUGAAAACUACUCCAUUUCACGUGAUGAUCAGUUAUGGUUUAGUUGAUUUGGAUCACAUGAUCACUUAGAUGAUUAGAGAGAUGUCUAUCUAAGUGGGAGUUCUUAAAGUAAUAUGGUUAAUUGGACUUUAAUUUAUCUUGAACUUAGUCCUGGUAGUAUUAGCAUAUCUAUGUUGUAUAUCAAUAGCUCGCGUUUAGCUCCCCUGUUUUAUUUUUGAUAUGUUCCUAGAGAAAACUAAGUUGAAAGAUGUUAAUAGCAAUGAUGCGGAUUGGAUCCGUGAUCUGAGGAUUAUCCUCACUGUUGCACAGAAAUAUUAUGUCCUUGAUGCACCGCUAGGUCACAGACCUAUUGCAGGAGCAGAUGCUGACGUUAUGAACAUUUUGACAAAAGCUCGGUAUGAUGACUACUUGAUAGUUUAGUGCACCAUGCUUUACGACUUAGAACCGGGACUUCAAAAAUGUUUUGAACGCCACGGAGCAUAUAAGAUAUUCCAAGAAUUGAAAUUGGUAUUUCAUACUCAUGCCAGUGUCGAGAGGUAUGAGACCUCUGACAUUACUUUGCCUACAAGAUGGAGGAGAAUAGCUCAACCAGUAAGCAUGUGCUCAGAUUGUCUGAGUACUACAAUCACUUGAAUCAAGUGGGAGUUAAUCUUCUAGAUAAUAUAGUGAUUGACAGAGUUCUCUAGUCACUAUCACCAAGUUGUUAGAACUUCAUGAUGAACUAUAAUAUGCAAGGGAUAACGGAAACGAUUCCCAAGCUCUUCAUGAUGCUGAAAUCGACGAAGGUAAAAAUCAAGAAAAGCAUCAAGUGUUGAUGGUUAACAAGACCACUAUUUUCAAGAAAAGGGCAAAUGGAAUAAGGGGAAUUUCAAGAAGAACGGCAAGCAAGUUGCUGCUCAAGUGAAGAAGCCCAAAUCUAGACCUAAGCCUGAGACUAAGUGCUUUUACUGCAAAGGGACUAGUCACUGGAAGUGGAACUGCCCCAAGUAUUUGGCAGAUAAGAAGGAUGGCAAAGUGAACAAAGGUAUAUUGGAUAUACAUGUUAUUGAUGUGUACUUUACUAGUGUUUAUAGCAACCCCUCAGUAUUUGAUACUAGUUCAGUUGCUAAGAGUAGUAACUUGAAAUGGUAGUUGGACAAUGAACAGAGACUAGUUAAGGGUGGAGCAACGAUGUGUGUUGGAAGUAGUUCCAAGAAUGAUAUGAUCGUCAUCGCACACUCCCUAUACUUUCAGGAUUAGUGUUGAACCUAAAUAAGUGUUAUUUGGUGUUUUCGUUGAGCAUGAAUAUGAUUUGAUCAUGUUUAUUGCAAUACGGUUAUUCAUUUAAGUUAGAGAAUAAUUGUUAUUCUGUUUACAUGAAUAAAACCUUCUAUGGUUAUACACCCAAUGAAAAUGGUUUGUUGAAUCUUGAUUGUAGUGAUACACAUAUUCAUAAUAUUGAAGCCAAAAGAUGCAAAGUUAAUAAUGAUAGUGCAACUUAUUUGUGGCACUGUCGUUUAGGUCAUAUUGGUGUAAAGCGCAUGAAGAAAAUCCAUGCUGAUGGGCUUUUGGAAUCACUUGAAUAUAAAUCAGUUGAUGCUUGCGAACCAUGCCUCAAGGGUAAAGAGGACUAAGACUCCGUUCUCCAGAACAAUGGAGCGAGGAACUGACUUAUUGGAUAUAAUACAUACUGAUGUAUGAGGUCCGAUGAGUGUUGAGGCUCGCGGCGGGUAUCGUUAUUUUCUGACCUUCACAGAUAAUUUGAGCAGAUAUGGGUAUAUCUACUUGAAGAAACAUAAGUCCGAAACAUUUGAAAAGUUUAAAGAAUUUCAGAGUGAAGUGGAAAAUCAUCGUAACAAGAAAAUAAAGUUUCUACGAUCUGAUCGUAGAGGCAAAUAUUUGAGUUACGAGUUUGGUCUUCAAUUAAAACAAUAUGGAAUAGUUUCACAAACUCAUGCCACCUGGAACACCAUAGCGUAAUGGUGUGUCCGAAAGUCAUAACUGUGCUUUAUUUGAUAUAGUGCAAUCUAUGAUGUCUCAUACCGAUUUACCACUAUCAUUUUGGGGUUAUGCAUUAGAGAUAGCUGCAUUCACAUUAAAAAGGGCACCAUCUAAAUCUGUUGAGAUAACACCGUAUGAACUGUGGUUUAGCAAGAAACCUAAGGUGUCGUUUCUUAAAGUUUGGGGUUGCGAUGCUUAUGUGAAAAAGGUUUAUCUUGAUAAGCUCAAACCCAAAUCGAAGAAGUGCGUCUUCAUAGGAUACCCAAAAGUAACUGUUGGGUACACCUUCUAUCACAGAUCCGAAGGCAAGAUAUUUGCUGCUGAGAAUAGAUCCUUUCUAGAGAAGGAGUUUCUCUCGAAAGAAGUGAGUGGGAGGAAAGUAGAACUUGAUGAGGUAACUGUACCUGCUCCCUUAUUGGAAAGUAGUUCAUCACAGAAAUCUGUUUCUGUGACUCCUACACCAAUUAGUGAGGAAACUAAUGAUGAUGAUCAUGUAACUUCAGAUCAAGUUAUUACCAAACCUCUUAGGUCAACCAGAGUGAGAUCCGCACCAGAGUGGUACGGUAAUCCUGUUCUGGAGGUCACGUUAAUUGACCAUGACGAACCUACGAACUAUGAGGAAGCGAUGAUGAGCCCAGAUUCCGCGAAAUGGCUUGAGGCAUGAAAUCUAAUAUGGGAUCCAUGUAUGAGAACAAAGUGUGGACUUUGGUUAACUUGCCCGAUGAUCGGCAAGCCAUAGAAAAUAAAUGGAUCUUCAAGAGGAAGACGGACAGUGAUAGUAGUGUUGCUAUCUACAAAGCUCGAAUUGUCGCAAAAUGUUUUCGACAAGUUCAAGGUGUUGACUACGAUGAGAUUUUCUCACUCGUAUCGAUGCUUAAGUCCGUCCGAAUCAUGUUAGCAAUUGCCGCAUUUUAUGAUUAUGAAAUUUGGCAAAUGGAUGUAAAGACUGCAUUCCUGAAUGGAUUUCUGGAAGAAGAGUUGUAUAUGAUGCAACCUGAAGGUUUUGUCGAUCCUAAAGGUGCUAACAAAGUGAGCAACCUCCAGCGAUCCAUCAAUGGACUGGUGCAAGCUUCUCGAAGUUGGAAUAAACGUUUUGAUAGUGUGAUCAAAGCAUAUGGUUUUAUACAGACUUGCGGUGAAGCCUGUAUUUACAAGAAAGUGAGUGGGAGCACUACAACAUUUCUAAUAAGAAGUGUGAAUGACAUAUUGUUGAUCGGAAAUAAUGUAGAAUUUUCUGGAAAGCAUAAAGAAGUAUUUGAAAUGAGUUUCUCAAAUAAAGACCUCGAUGAAGCUACUUACAUAUUGAGCAUCAAGAUCUAUAGAGAUAGAUCAAGACGCUUGAUAAGUUUUUUCAAUGAGUGCAUACCUUGACAAGAUUUUGAAGUAGUUCAAAAUGGAACAGUCAAAGAAAGAGAUCUUACCUGUGUUACAAGGUGUGAAAUUGAGUAAGACUCAAAGCCCGACCACGGCAGAAGAUAGAAAGAGAAUGAAAGUCAUUCCCUAUGCCUCAACCAUAGUUUCUAUAAAGUAUGCCAUGCUGUGUACCAGAUCUAUUGUAUACCCUACACUGAGUUUAGCAAUGGAAUACAAUAGUGAUCUAGGAGUAGAUCACUGGAUAGCGGUCAAAAUUAUCCUUAGUGGAAUAAGGAAAUAUUUCUCGACUAUGGAGGUGAUAAAAGAGUUCGUCGUAAAGAGUUACGUCGAUGCAAGCUUUUUACAUCGAUCUAGAUGACUCUAAGUCUCGAUCUGGAUACAUAUUAAAAGUGGGAGCAAUUAGCUAGAGUAGCUCCAUGCAAAGCAUUGUUGACACAGAAAUUUUCAAAAUACAUAUGGAUCUGAAUGUGGCAGACCCGUAGACUAAACUUCUCUCACAAGUAAAACAUGAUCACACCUUAGUACUCUUUGGGUGUUAAUCGCAUAGCGAUGUGAACUAGAUUAUUGACUCUAGUAAACCCUUUGGGUGUUGAUCACAUGACGAUGUGAACUAUGGGUGUUAAUCACAUGGUGAUGUGAACUAUUGGUGUUAAAUCACAUGGCGAUGUGAACUAGAUUAUUGACUCUAGUGCAAGUGGGAGACUGAAGGAAAUAUGCCCUAGAGCCAAUAAUAAAGUUAUUAUUUAUUUCCUUAUUUCAUGAUAAAUGUUUAUUAUUCAUGCUAGAUUUGUAUUAACCGGAAACAUAAUACAUGUGUGAAUACAUAGACAAACAUAGUGUCACUAGUAUGCCUCUACUUGACUAGCUCGCUAAUCAAAGAUGGUUAAGUUUCCUAACCAUAGACAUGAGUUGUCAUUUGAUUAACGGGAUCACAUCAUUAGGAGAAUGAUAUGAUUGACUUGACCCAUUCCGUUAGCUUAGCACUUGAUCGUUUAGUAUUCUGCUAUUGCUUUCUUCAUGACUUAUACAUGUUCCUAUGACUAUGAGAUUAUGCAACUCCCGUUUACCAGAGGAACACUUUGUGUGCUACCAAACGUCACAACGUAACAGGGUGAUUAUAAAGGUGCUCUACAGGUGUCUCCGAAGUUACUUGUUGGGUUGGCGUAUUUCGAGAUUAGGAUUUGUCACUCCGAUUGUCGGAGAGGUAUCUCUGGCCCCUCGGUAAUACACAUCACUUAAGCCUUGCAAGCAUUGCAACUAAUGAGUUAGUUGCGGGAUAAUGUGUUAUGGAACGAGUAAAGAGACUUGCCAGUAACGAGAUUGAACUAGGUAUUGAGAUACCGACGAUCGAAUCUCGGGCAAGUAACAUACCGAUGGCAAAGGGAACAACGUAUGUUGUUAUGCGGUUUGACCGAUAAAGAUCUUCGUAGAAUAUGUAGGAGCUAAUAUGAGCAUCCAUGUUCCGCUAUUGGUUAUUGAACGGAGACGUGUCUCAGUCAUGUCUACAUAGUUCUCGAACCCGUAGGGUCCGCACGCUUAAAGUUCGAUGACGGCUAUAUUUUGAGUUUAUGGUUUUUGAUGAACCGAAGGUAAUUCAGAGUCCUGGAUGUGAUCACGGACAAGACGAGGAGUCUCGAAAUGUUCGAGACGUAAAGAUCGAUAUAUUGGACGACUAUAUUUGGAUACCAGAAUGGUUCCGGGUGAGAUCGGGAUAAUACCGGAGCACCGGGAGGUUAUCGGACCCCCCCGGAGGUAUAUGGGCCUUAAUGGGCUUUAGUGGAAAGGAGGUAAAAGGAGAAAGGGAGGGGGCGCCCCCCCCCCCCCAAGCCCAACCCGAACUGGGAAGCCCCCCCCCUUUCCUUCCUCCCUCCUUCCUCUUCCUUCCCUCUCCCUCUCCAAAUAGGAAAAGGAGGAGUCCUACUCCCGGUGGGAGUAGGACUCCCCCCUUGGGCGCACCUCCUCCCCUUGGCCGGCCCUCUCCUCCCCUCCUUUAUAUACGGAGGAGAGGGGCACCCCAUAGACACAACAAUUUAUCUCUUGGAUCUUUUUGCUGUGUGCGGUGCCCCUCUCCACCAUAGUCCACCUCGAUAAUAUUGUAGCGGUACUUAGGCGAAGCCCUGUGACGGUAGAACAUCAACAUCGUCACCACGCCGUUGUGCUGAAGGAACUCUCCCUCAAAGCUCGGCUGGAUCGGAGUUUGAGGGACGUCAUCGAGUUGAACGUGUGCAGAACUCAGAGGUGCCGUGCGUUCGGUACUUGAUCGGUCGGAUCGUGAAGACAUACGACUACAUCAACCGCAUUGUGCUAAUGCUUUCGCUUGCGGUCUACAAGGGUACACGGACACACUCUCCCCUCUCGUUGUUAUGCAUCACCAUGAUCUUGCGUGUGCGUAGGAUUUCUUUUUAAAUUACUAUGUUACCCAACAUUAGACUCCUCCACUUUAUCUUACUCCUCACAUUCCCAUCAUCCGACAUAGUAUGACGACAUCUCAGCCCCUUGUAUUCACAUCACACGGUGUUCAAAUCGCACGAGCCACGAGGCCUUGUUUUUUAAACAGAAGUGGUGUACCCAAGCACCCCUAAUGAAAUUGGCGUUCCCUUGAUCCAAAGAAAAAAAGAGUAAAAAGAAACCAAACACUCCCCCCCCCACAUACACCUCCAGCGUUCCUAUGCACCGAAUUGUACACAACCAAUAGUUUCUACAUUGCUACACAUGAAUGAUGCUUACAGUUGAAAUAAAAGGCAACUCAUUGUCGCUUACAACUAAAUAGCAAAAGGAUACUAGGAGUAGAGUUUGACAUAGGCUAGAGUAAGUGCAUUAUAUAUCCUUAUUUCUGUUUCGCAAUUUUUUUUCCUUAUUUCUAGUGUGUGAUUGCCACCCAAGAUUGCAAUAGAACACCAGGUCAACUGACAAUCCAAUCCCUGGUGUUCUAUUAUAUGUCGAGUUAAAUACUAAAAAGUGCUACUAGGAGUAGAGUAUGAGAUGAACGAGAGUAAGUGCAUUAUGUAUAUCCUCAAUUAUAGUGUGCGGUCACCACCCAAGAUUGCAACAGAACACCAAUUUGGCUGACGAAACCAAUCUAGUCCAAUCGCUUAUUGAACUAAAAGUCGGUAUAUGUACUUAGGAGUUGCCUAACUAAAGCAUGCGGUUCAACUUGAUAGAUCUAGUAAGAUUCAACUCGAUAAUCGUUUAAUUCCUAAUGGUUUCUAUAAAAAAUAGUUACAAUAACUAACUCAAACGAAAUAUAAGCGAACAAUCAAACAUCGACCGGCUCACAUGGCUUCCAAAUAAAACUAAUUAACAGAUCGAGUAAUACAUUGUUUAUUCCUUGCUCUUAAUAUGAGGUUAUACAUAACAUAUUUUGGUCCAUCCUGAAGUAAGUAUUACGUAACAAGUACUAGCUAGUAUUUCAGUCUCUACUAGCAAAUGUUGCAAUAGCAAACAGCCUUGAUGGCGUUCUUCUUAUCACAGUGGUAGUCCUUGAGGCUGCCCUUCCUAUCACGUGCAAACACGUCACACGUGGCCUUGCAUAGAGGCUUGGUGCAGAAAAACUCCCCGCCGUCGUCAACGACCGCGAAAUUGUGCUGCACAACACCAAGAAAACACAAACCAUUAUAUUAGAAUAUUAGCGACAAACCCCCAUUAGAUUAGAUUAUACGUAUUUGACAAACACAAUUAAACACACCUGCAGAAAUAGGAGUACCCACAAGUGUUAGCACCACGAGGAAGCAAACAAUAGCAGCCCGUGUGUCCAUCCCAAGAGUUCUCUCCUUUUUUGAACUAGAAGGAAAAAUAUGUGUUCUCUUCGUCUAUUUUAAUUUGGCUAUGGGACUAAUGUUUAUGUCUUGAAGUGCUUGGAGUGUUGUCUUAUAUAGACUUAUUGAAAGGGACAAAAAUAAAAGCAUUUAAAUGAUUGUUAAACUUAGCAAAAGAGAUAGAGGUGAGUCACACCCCAAAAAUGGAAGCACUUAAUGCUGGGUGAGAAAUUAAAUGACGAAGGCAAAGAAUAUAUGAGUGAUGUUUAUCCAAUAAUCAAGGCUUUAAUUUUCGACUACAAAAUAAGCAUGACCAUUCAAAAAAUGGAGUCAUCUUUUUGUCGCUGGUGACAUUGAUCAAACAUGGUUUUUUAUAAAAAAAAAUGUAUAGCCACUUUAAUUGCAAACACCAUUGUGCAUUGAAAUUCAGUUGACUUCAACAAAACAAUCAAUAUGAAUUGCAUGCUUGAUAUGUAACCAACUAAAACUAAAAUUGUAUGUUGUCUCGAGUUGACUAAAUCACCAUUUUUGGCUAGACAAUGUUUAAAACUGUGUCAACUGUGUCAAUUUGCACGGCGCCUGGGACAAUGCAAUGUCAAAUCUUGCACUAUUUUAAACCACCACAAGAUAAGCAAGCUGAGUUGGCCCGGGCCUCUUGCCAGACGCUGGCAUCCACCUCGAAAUCUAUAUCAAUAUAUUUUUUGUAUCACAUGAAUCAUAUAGUAUUGGUCUAAAAUAUAUUUUCUCUUGUUGCAAAAUAUGAAAGAAAAAUCGGCACAACAAUAUUAUAUAGACCCAUCGCAACAAUAGCAUGCUUCACAGUCGGUGGGUCCCAUGUAAAGACAUUUGGAAAUACCUCAAAAAUGCAUAUGUGUACUAUUUAUUAUUGUCCAAGAAUUUCACAUGCUCACUCACAACAAACUGUUGAAGAAUUCCGUGCAACUUAGAAACUAACGUAUGCAACAACGCGAGCACAACAUUUGUGUUAGGACUAACAAAAUUACAUUACAUUGUAGCAUGUCACACAUGUGUAUGUAGUAUGACGCAAAUGAGUUCACAGCAUACCAAAACAACGAAUGGUAACUACAAAAAAUUCCCAUAAAUCUAACAUUUUACAACCAAAAAAUUUGGUGGGCACUGACCUCACCUCAUCAAACUUGCUCUAAUAUUCUAGUUAGUGUAGAGUUUUGGAUUAAGCUAAAGUUGCUCUAGUAUUAUGCCACAACAAAAAGGAAAGAAAUGGGGGAAAACAAAGAAGAGCGGAGCAGGGUGGCUUACUCGGAUCUAAGUCGGCCAAUAUCAAUCGCAUUGCCCUCCUAAAUCCUGAUUACUCAAGCCAGCCCAAAAUUGAGGGGCUACUAAAAUAGAAGUUGAGCCUAUGGUGCAAGAACAGAAAAGCCAUUGGAUUGGAUAUGGAUAGCACAUGAUCUGGUGGAGCGAUCUCAGGCCACUUUUUGUAUAUUUUAUGAAAAAACCCUAUUAACAGUUAGGUACAAAACAAAACAUUCGCAGUGACCACCUUAAGUAUCUCAUCUCCCAAUCCAAUAGUGGAGUUAACGACCAUUUACAGAUUUCAGGUUUUUUCCAGCGACCAUUUAUAGAAUUUGCACAACCUCAUAUCCUAUCAGUUUUAUAAAAUAUAUUUUCACAUACCGAGCACAAAUAUAUGGUUGUAAGAAUGAAGAACUCAUACUCAUGCUUGUUUUAAUUCUAGUAUUUACACCCCUAAGGUUGUUAAGGUCCGGUUACAAAAACUCGAAUUUAAUUCUCUUAUAAGAACUUGUUAGAGUCCUGUCAUAGUGCACAUCCUCUCGUGGAUUCGAUAACUCAAGGUUGCUCCUUCGGGAAAAGGGAGGGAAACCUUUGUUGUCCAAACCGGAUCUCAAAGAGCACCACCCAUCUCUCACCCUACUCGAUGAUACAACAUCGACGACCAGGUACGUGUGUAACCAACCGUCUGCUCCCUCGCUCUGUCACUGUGGUGCUAUUCAUUACAUCAAGUCGGGACCCAUUUCCUUCCUUUUGAGGUUAACAAUUAAGGUUUCUAGUCUAUAUGAGGGCCUUCGGAUUCAACUUAUAAGAAUGUUAGUUCAAAUUUAAUGAUGAUUAUUUCAAGUGGAUGGUUAUGUGAACUAGGUUGGUAGAGUGGUGGCCGACCACUGUUGCGGCGGACUUCAGGGAUGUUUGAUCUAUCCACCUGGCUUGAUCAAGCAGCGUCGACAUUUGUGCAUCAUUAUUUUGUUGAAUAUGUUCGUUCGAUUUGCUUGUUGCAGGGGUGAUAGCCUCUGGUCCGACGUUUGGUUACACGAGACAAUAAGCUCCCCUUGCAAAAGUGUAUGAUGUGGGAAUUACGUGUUGUACUCCUCAGGUGCAAACGCACGUAUAUAUGAUGUACAGGAGUAGGCCACGACCUCAAUUAUACAAGGCAACUAGGAGGUGGGCCCAAUACACAAAUAUGCACAACAAAGACUGGACCGGAACUCCUCAAAAUGAUGCCGUAGGCAAGUCCUUGGUCAUGGUAUAUGCAAAUUGUUGGGAAGUAGGGACGUGUAAAACACGAAUAUGGCCAAGGGCCACCUAUUCCCGAACAAAAUGAAUAUCCAACUCAAUAUGCUUGGUCCGUCGAUGAUGCACCGGGUUAGCGGAGAGGUAGACUGCCGAGACGUUGUCGCAAUAGACCACCGUGGCACGGUCAACAGGGAAAGAGAGCUCCUGAAGCAGCUGGCGAAGCCACGAACACUCGGCGACGGUGUUGGCCACCGCAGGAUACUCAGCCUCAGCGUUGGAACGAGAGACCGUAGGCUGCCGCGUGGAUGACCACGAGAUAAGUGAGGGUCCAAGGUAGACACAAUAGCCCGAGGUGGAGCGACGAGUUUUAGGGCAGCCCGCCCAGUCUGCAUUGAAGUAGGCGGCGAGGGCAGUGUCGGCGGAGGCAUGAAGCGUGACACCAAGAUCCAUAGUGCCACAGACAUAGCGGAGAAUCCGUUUGACAACGGCCCAGUGCAUCUCGAGGAGCAUGCAUAUGAAGACACACCUGCUGCACGACAUACUGGAUCUCUGGUUGAGUUAAAGUGAGGUACUGAAGAGCACCAACAAUAGACCGAUAAAAAGCAGCAUCCGAAGCAGGAGAACCAUCCGUGGCAGAAAGCUUGGCCUUUGUAUAAACAGGCGUAGCAGCGGGCUUGUAGUUAAGCAUGUUGGCCCGCUCCAGGAGCUCAUGAGCAUACUUCCGCUGAUGAAAGAAGAAGCCAUCCGGACGGCACACCACCUCGACACCGAGGAAGUUGUGCAAAGGACCCAAGUCCUUGAUGGCAAACUCAGCGCGAAGACGAGCCAUGAGCUGACCGAGGAGACCAACCAUACAUGCCGUCAGGAUGACGUCGUCGACAUAGAGCAGAAAGUAGGCCGUGUUAGAGCCCUGAUGAUAGACGAAGAGCGAGGCGUCCGAGCGGGUGGAGCGGAACCCAAGCUGGUGGAGAAACGCUGCGAUGCGCUGGUACCAAGCACGCAGAGCCUUCUUAAGUUCAUACAAGGACCGCGAAAGCAGGCACACGUGGUCGGGAAGCGCCGGGUCAACAAACCCGGUGUGCUGCUGGCAGAAGACCUGCUACUCCAGGUGACCAUGGAGCAAGGCGUUGGAGACGUCCAUCUGGUGCACCGGCCAAGCACGGGAGACUGCAAGGUGGAGAACCGUGUGUAUCGUGUCGGGCUUGACGACCAGAGCGAAGGUGUCGAUGAAGUCGAUGCCAGCACGCUGUCGGAAGCCACGAACGACCCAACGCGGUUUGUAGCGAUCAAAGGUACCAUCGGGACGGAGGUUGUGUUUGAAGACCCACUUCCCGGUAAUCACGUUGGCGUGCUGAGGACAGGAAACAAACAUAGAAGAUUUGACUUUAGAAAAAAAAUAGUACAACUUAUCUAUACCUAAUAUUAAAGGACGGAGAUUUUUAUAGUUCUCCAUACAUCUAACUUUAUUAAUAGUCUUCAUCGGCCCACCGGAGCAAGACAAUAAGUAGGCCUGGAAACACUCGAUUCAAUGGGCCUGAAAAAUAAACGGGCAUGCAUCCUCUCUCGCUCAUCUCUCUCCUCUCGAACCCCUCAUAAAAAAUUUCUCUCCUCUCGAUCCCUUCGCUCUCUACUACGAGCGCUCCUGGGGCAGACAUGUUCUCCCUUCUCUCUACCGCUGCGGAUGGCCCAACUUGACUCCGAGACGAACUCUGCUCGAGCACGCACCCAUAGGGUGUCCCGACAGGUUCUUUGCGGUUCCGCAGGCUGGUCUAGGAACAUAUAGAAACAAAUUGACGCCAUCAAACGAAGCCCCAGCUCAAUUGCCUGGUUGCGGAGUGCGGCGGCAUGUCGAGCCGAACGCCGGCAAGAUCAUACAGGAUGAGGCAGUAGAUGCCAACGAUAGUGUGCGUCACCCAACUCGACGCAGGCGAGGAAGAUGAGCAGGACGGCGUUGGAGCUCAGCAGGGCGCCGACGAGAACGUACGGGAAGAGGCGGUAGACGCCGAUGGCGGUGUAGGUAACCCACCCAGCUCGACGAAGGUGAGGAAGAUGAGUAGGACGGGGGGUAGCCGGGGAUUUGAAGAGGACUCGGAAGGGCUACACGAGCAUGACCAGGUCGUCACUGAAUCGGAUCCGUCACCUCAUGCGGCUGAGCUGUUAGAGGACGAUGCAGAGGCUCUGGUCAAAGGCGACCAUGAUGGAUGUGUCACCGCCGGCCACGCGAUAGAGGAAGAAGGUGAGGCUCAAGAGCCGGCCAGCCGAGUGGACGUGCCGGUGCAGUUGUGACCGCUCGGGAGGUUGAAGGCAAGCGAGGGAGCUCAUGCGGCGACGUCGGCAAGGCUCGGUGGCGAGAUAGCGCAGAAGAGCGGUGCAGCGGAGCGACAACCACGAUGCUAGGGCGUUGCGGAGAGAAAGGAUGAAGAGAGAUAGGGCAAGGGAGUCCUACUGCUGGUGGAGGCACGCAGGAGGAGCUCGAGCAUCAGUUGGCGGGCGAAGCAAGGAGUCGCAGGGCUUUCCAGCGACUAUGAUGGUGCGGGUUGAUCUGGGGAGGCUGGGAGAGCUGCCUCCUAGGGGCGCUGGUUCGGGUUGACGUGUGCGUCAUGUGCACUGCUACAAAAUUGCUGGAUAUGUGUAUCUAUAUGUGUGCGGCUGCGAUUUGAAAGUCGUAGCAAUGCACAGGCUUAUAAUUAAAUAAUUAUAUAUCUUUACUUGUUCAGUAGCAACACAUGCUAGCAAGCAGCAGAGACAGUAUACUAUGUUGGCGAUCAUUUGGCGAGCGAGCAGUUGAAUUGCUGCUGGCAUGCAUUGUGCAGGGGCAUGUUCGCUUGGGUCUUGGGACGAAAUCGACUGAGUCAAUAAAUAAUUUUUUAAAAGGAUAUUAGACCCUCGGCCUCUGCAUCAUUCAUUAUGAUGCACACAAAUAUUUUUAGCAAAGUUAGCCAUGGGUCGAACCAUUAGAUAUCAAAUAGACAUCUACAACUAAGUCGACUUCUGCUGCAACAUCUCUUCAAGAAGGGAUAAACUUUCUCGCCAUCGACCGAAACAAUCCGUAAGAAGAAGAAAAUGAUCACACAUGUGAAACAUAAUUGUCAAUACAAAUACAUGACACAUGGUGGUACGAACACACAUCACGAUGGAAGAAUACCAGCAACUUAAAAGCAAGCCUACAUCAAAUCUAUAUUUCAUUAGUAUUUAGUCCAUAUUUUUAUUUCUAUCAACCUAAACUCCAAUUACGUUAAAAUUUAGGUUUGAACUGCAGAUAUGAGAUUUCGAAUUUAAAGAUUGAACGUAUAUUUAAAGUUCUCAUAGUAUGUGUCUAUUUUUUGGGGUGUCUUUUUACUCGAUAGGAAUCCAAUUCAAUGCUCAAAAUCAAAUAACAAGAUUAUUGCUACAUAUUUUGAUAAAGCUAAAUUUUACUUGAAUUUUGGAUGUAGUUUAGACAAAUAAUUCUCACUAAAUCUUACUAUGGGCCAAUUUUUCUCUACCGUUGCAACACACCGGAUCGAGAGUUUCCAAGAAAACAUUGUCAGUCAGAUGCAUUUACUCCAGAUCAUAACUCAUGUCCUAAGCUUCACGUCGUGAUCCUCAAAUCAUGCAUCUUUUUAUUUUCUCAUCAUCAACCGUUGUGACAUGACACAGUUCCUCGACCUGGCCAACCAUGGUUCAUAGGAACUGGUAUAUUUCUCCCGCUGCAACGCACGGGCAUUCGUGCUAGUAUUUUGAAACGGGAGUUAGUAGGUACACCAAUAAUUCGAUAUACCCACAAAAUGCUGGCUCUAGUUCCUUUCAUGGCUCCUUUGAUGUAAGAAAGAUGCUAGUAGUGACUAGAGACAAAGGGAAUCAAAUUAUGGGAGGAGGCGGCCCUAUCUAUAUUCCUCUUCUCCAAGCGGUAGCUCCCGUCCAUCCUUUGCCAAAAGUGGAGCAUCUCUCAUUUCCUUCUUCAUCUUCUCCUCCUCCUCCUUUCUUGAUGCUCACUCGCCUAUAAAUAGCUCUCGCUGCCUGCCAUUGUUACUCAAGCUAGCAAGCAAGAAGCACAAAAGAAGCCAACACCAAUCAAGGCCUCCAUCCAAUCCCAAGCAACCUCGAAGAUGUCUUGCUGCGGAGGAAGCUGCGGCAGCGCCUGCAAGUGCGGCAACGGCUGCGGCGGCUGCAACAUGUACCCCGAGGUCGAGGCCGCCGGCGCCACCCUCCUCGUCGCCGCCACCGCCACCCACAAGGCGUACGUCCCUUCUCUUUCCUCAUACAUCAUGCGCCUCGCUGUAAUAUGACUAUAUAUGUUGAUCUUGCUAUGGGACUAAGGAUGGAUGGAUGGGUGCAGGAGCUCCGGCGGGAUGGAGAUGGCGGCGGAGAAUGGCGGCUGCGGCUGCACCCAGUGCAAGUGCGGCACCAGCUGCGGCUGCUCCUGCUGCAGCUGCUAGAUCAUUGAUCAUCGAUCAUGCAUGCACCGCGCGCAUGCAUCAUAUCUAUGAUCGAUCCAUCCAUCCAUCUAGUACCAUGUAACGCUACCUGAUCGAGGGUCUUUGUAUGUAUGUAAGCACCUGCCAGCAUGAGCAGAGCAGGUGCACUCCCAUGCAUGUAAACCGACCCCUAAAUAAAAUCUCCCGUGGUUUAACCUAUACAUGUGUUUGUGUUAUAGACCAGCUUCUGGCCCAUGUUUACUAUCAACUUGCGAGGUGCCUGGGUUGCUAAUAGACCAGCUGAAUGCUCUCUUAAAGCAACGUAUGCACCGCUUGGAAUCGGUGUAUCUUUCUUUAUACACAUGUAUUUAUUUUACAGGUGUAUAUCAUCGGCCACACCUGGGAAAAACGAUGGAUGGAGAAGGGUAAAUUUACAGGGGUAUUGCUCUGUGAAACGAGGGUCGAAUCAGGGUCGUAAGGGUGUUUGAUACGUGUGAAUAUUACUGGCCGAAGUUGAGUAUGAGAUACAUACAAUACAAACUUGACACUUUUGAAAGUCGUGCUAUCAAUCAUGAGACACAUAGUUUAGCCAAAUUCUCGCUUAAUCUUUGUCAAAGGGUGUCACGUACUCACGUCUGGUUUGGCCAACCCCAUGAUCCGAUAUGUAUCCCACUCUUUGUGGUUUUCGAUGAAUAAAAUUUGGUUAAACCCUAAAAAAAACUUAUUUUGC